rnacentral:rRNA from 1 species
UACGUAGGCAGCGAGCGUUGUUCGGAGUUACUGGGCGUAAAGAGUGCGUAGGCGGUUUUCUAAGUUUGGUGUGAAAUCUCCCGCUUAACUGGGAGGGUGCGCCGAAGACUGGAAGGCUUGAGUAUGGGAGAGGUAAGCGGAAUUCCUGGUGUAGCGGUGAAAUGCGCAGAUAUCAGGAAGAACACCCGUGGCGAAGGCGGCUCUCUGGGACGGUACUGACGCUGAGACGCGAAAGCGUGGGGAGCGAACAGG